AGACCCGAAACCCGGUGAUCUAGCCAUGGGCAGGUUGAAGGUUGGGUAACACUAACUGGAGGACCGAACCGACUAAUGUUGAAAAAUUAGCGGAUGACCUGUGGCUGGGGGUGAAAGGCCAAUCAAACCGGGAGAUAGCUGGUUCUCCCCGAAAGCUAUUUAGGUAGCGCCUCGUGAAUUCAUCUCCGGGGGUAGAGCACUGUUUCGGCUAGGGGGCCAUCCCGGCUUACCAACCCGAUGCAAACUGCGAAUACCGGAGAAUGUUAUCACGGGAGACACACGGCGGGUGCUAACGUCCGUCGUGAAGAGGGAAACAACCCAGACCGCCAGCUAAGGUCCCAAAGUCAUGGUUAAGUGGGAAACGAUGUGGGAAGGCCCAGACAGCCAGGAUGUUGGCUUAGAAGCAGCCAUCAUUUAAAGAAAGCGUAAUAGCUCACUGGUCGAGUCGGCCUGCGCGGAAGAUGUAACGGGGCUAAACCAUGCACCGAAGCUGCGGCAGCGAACGUAUCACUUAAAGCGAUUCAGCGGGUUACGAUUGACGGAGCGAAGCGACGUCAAAGCGUAUACAAAGUCGAGUCGGUUUAAGGAUACGUUCGUUGGGUAGGGGAGCGUUCUGUAAGCCUGUGAAGGUGUGUCGUGAGGCAUGCUGGAGGUAUCAGAAGUGCGAAUGCUGACAUAAGUAACGAUAAAGCGGGUGAAAAGCCCGCUCGCCGGAAGACCAAGGGUUCCUGUCCAACGUUAAUCGGGGCAGGGUGAGUCGACCCCUAAGGCGAGGCCGAAAGGCGUAGUCGAUGGGAAACGGGUUAAUAUUCCCGUACUUGGUGUUACUGCGAAGGGGGGACGGAGAAGGCUAUGUUGGCCGGGCGACGGUUGUCCCGGUUUAAGCGUGUAGGCUGGUUUUCCAGGCAAAUCCGG
rnacentral:rRNA from 1 species